GUGAGGAAUAUUGGUCAAUGGGCGAGAGCCUGAACCAGCCAAGUCGCGUGAAGGAAGAAGGAUCUAUGGUUCGUAAACUUCUUUUGCAGUGGAAUAAAGUGCGGGACGUGUCCUGUUUUGUAUGUACCCUGAGAAUAAGGAUCGGCUAACUCCGUGCCAGCAGCCGCGGUAAUACGGAGGAUCCGAGCGUUAUCCGGAUUUAUUGGGUUUAAAGGGUGCGUAGGUGGUUUGAUAAGUCAGCGGUGAAAGUUUGCAGCUUAACUGUAAAAAUGCCGUUGAAACUGUCGGACUUGAGUGUAAAUGAGGUAGGCGGAAUGCGUGGUGUAGCGGUGAAAUGCAUAGAUAUCACGCAGAACUCCGAUUGCGAAGGCAGCUUACUAAGCUACAACUGACACUGAAGCACGAAAGCGUGGGGAUCAAACAGGAUUAGAAACCCCGGUAGUCC
rnacentral:rRNA from 1 species